rnacentral:rRNA from 1 species
UACGUAGGAUGCGAGCGUUGUCCGGAAUUAUUGGGCGUAAAGGGCUCGUAGGCGGUUUGUCGCGUCGGGAGUGAAAACUCAGGGCUUAACCCUGAGCCUGCUUCCGAUACGGGCAGACUAGAGGUAUGCAGGGGAGAACGGAAUUCCUGGUGUAGCGGUGAAAUGCGCAGAUAUCAGGAGGAACACCGGUGGCGAAGGCGGUUCUCUGGGCAUUACCUGACGCUGAGGAGCGAAAGUGUGGGGAGCGAACAGG